UUAAUAUUGCUUCCCAAGUUUAAGUGUGAGGUACUUUAUGUUUGUUUGUUGACUACCUAAAUAGCCCCUUAAAUAAAUAAAAAAGUUGAUAUUUCUUAUAUGUUUGACACAGUGAAAAACAGCCUGGGGUCAAAUUGACCCCAAAGAACACCGACAUUAAACAUUGAAUGGGGUCAAAUUGACCCUAAAGGUAACAGGAGGGUUAAACAUUCUGUUUAGGAUGAAGAUGUAUUAAUGUUCCAUAUGGAAGAAAACUGCUAAAUAACUGCUGAGUUGCAGCACCAUUGUAUAGAAGAAUGUAUAAAUGUAUAUAUCCGUCUUUUGUCAUAAAUCUCUAUGUUCUCACAAAAUAUACCGAGAAUAUCGGAAAUAUGUGAUUAAUCAUGAUUAAUCCACAGAAACCUGUGAUUAAUCCGAUUAAAAAUUUUAAUCGUUUCACAGCCCUAAUA